rnacentral:rRNA from 1 species
CAGUCGAACGAACUCUGGUAUUGAUUGGUGCUUGCAUCAUGAUUUACAUUUGAGUGAGUGGCGAACUGGUGAGUAACACGAUGGGAAACCUGCCCAGAAGCGGGGGAUAACACCUGGAAACAGAUGCUAAUACCGCAUAACAACUUGGACCGCAUGGUCCGAGCUUGAAAGAUGGCUUCGGCUAUCACUUUUGGAUGGUCCCGCGGCGUAUUAGCUAGAUGGUGGGGUAACGGCUCACCAUGGCAAUGAUACGUAGCCGACCUGAGAGGGUAAUCGGCCACAUUGGGACUGAGACACGGCCCAAACUCCUACGGGAGGCAGCAGUAGGGAAUCUUCCACAAUGGACGAAAGUCUGAUGGAGCAACGCCGCGUGAGUGAAGAAGGGUUUCGGCUCGUAAAACUCUGUUGUUAAAGAAGAACAUAUCUGAGAGUAACUGUUCAGGUAUUGACGGUAUUUAACCAGAAAGCCACGGCUAACUACGUGCCAGCAGCCGCGGUAAUACGUAGGUGGCAAGCGUUGUCCGGAUUUAUUGGGCGUAAAGCGAGCGCAGGCGGUUUUUUAAGUCUGAUGUGAAAGCCUUCGGCUCAACCGAAGAAGUGCAUCGGAAACUGGGAAACUUGAGUGCAGAAGAGGACAGUGGAACUCCAUGUGUAGCGGUGAAAUGCGUAGAUAUAUGGAAGAACACCAGUGGCGAAGGCGGCUGUCUGGUCUGUAACUGACGCUGAGGCUCGAAAGUAUGGGUAGCAAACAGGAUUAGAUACCCUGGUAGUCCAUACCGUAAACGAUGAAUGCUAAGUGUUGGAGGGUUUCCGCCCUUCAGUGCUGCAGCUAACGCAUUAAGCAUUCCGCCUGGGGAGUACGGCCGCAAGGCUGAAACUCAAAGGAAUUGACGGGGGCCCGCACAAGCGGUGGAGCAUGUGGUUUAAUUCGAAGCUACGCGAAGAACCUUACCAGGUCUUGACAUACUAUGCAAAUCUAAGAGAUUAGACGUUCCCUUCGGGGACAUGGAUACAGGUGGUGCAUGGUUGUCGUCAGCUCGUGUCGUGAGAUGUUGGGUUAAGUCCCGCAACGAGCGCAACCCUUAUUAUCAGUUGCCAGCAUUAAGUUGGGCACUCUGGUGAGACUGCCGGUGACAAACCGGAGGAAGGUGGGGAUGACGUCAAAUCAUCAUGCCCCUUAUGACCUGGGCUACACACGUGCUACAAUGGAUGGUACAACGAGUUGCGAACUCGCGAGAGUAAGCUAAUCUCUUAAAGCCAUUCUCAGUUCGGAUUGUAGGCUGCAACUCGCCUACAUGAAGUCGGAAUCGCUAGUAAUCGCGGAUCAGCAUGCCGCGGUGAAUACGUUCCCGGGCCUUGUACACACCGCCCGUCACACCAUGAGAGUU